rnacentral:rRNA from 1 species
CCUACGGGGGGCGGCAGCAAGGAAUAUUGCGCAAUGGGCGAAAGCCUGACGCAGCGACGCCGCGUGAGGGAAGAAGGCCUUCGGGUCGUAAACCUCUUUUCUUGGGGAAGAAUAAUGACGGUACCCAGGGAAUAAGUCACGGCUAACUACGUGCCAGCAGCCGCGGUAAUACGUAGGCGGCGAGCAUUAUCCGGAUUUACUGGGCGUAAAGCGGGUGUAGGUGGUCUUUCAAGUCGGAUGUGAAAUUUCCCGGCUCAACCGGGAAGGGUCAUUCGAUACUGUUGGACUGGAGGGCAGUAGAGGGAGGUGGAAUUCCCGGUGUAGUGGUGAAAUGCGUAGAUAUCGGGAGGAACACCAGUGGCGAAAGCGGCCUCCUGGACUGUACCUGACACUGAGGCCCUGAAGCGUGGGGAGCAAACAGGAUUAGAUACCCUUGGUAGUCCACGCCUUAAACGAUGGAUACUAGGUGGGGGGGGUAUCGACCCCCCCCGUGCCAAAGUUAACACCUUAAGUAUCCCGCCUGGGGAGUAUGGUCGCAAGACUAAAACUCAAAGGAAUUGACGGGGGCCCGCACAAGCAGCGGAGCGUGUGGUUUAAUUCGAUGCAACACGAAGAACCUCACCCAGGCUUGACAUGACAGAAGUAGCGAACCGAAAGGGGAACCAACUGUUAAAUCAGUAGCUGCCACAGGUGCUGCAUGGUUGUCGUCAGCUCGUGCCGUGAGGUGUUGGGUUAAGUCCCGCAACGAGCGCAACCCUCGUUGCCAGUUGUUUUCUCUGGCGAGACUGCCCCGCAAGACGGGGAGGAAGGUGGGGAUGACGUCAAAUCAGCACGGCCCUUAUGCCUGGGGCUACACACACGCUACAAUGGCCGGUACAAUAGGUCGCAAUGGAGUGAUUCGGAGCUAAUCCUAAAAACCGGCCCCAGUUCAGAUUACAGGCUGAAACCCGCCUGUAUGAAGUCGGAGUUGCUAGUAAACGCAUAUCAGCAUGGUGCGUUGAAUACGUUCUCGGGCCUUGUACACACCGCCCGUCACGUCAUGAAAGCCGGUAACACCUGAAGUCGAUGGGCUAACUCGCAAGAGGGGCAGUCGCCGAAGGUGGGACUGGUAAUUGGGACGAAGUCGUAACAAGGUAACC